GAGAGGAGCCACAUUGGAGAGGCUGGGGAGCCUCGCUCACAUCUGGACUUGAUCAGGUGAUGAGGUCCUGGACUCAAAACCAUGACGAGAUUUUGGAGGGAGCAGAAAUUUGUCCAGAGCAACGUCCAGCCUGGGCCUGUGCCACAGGCGACACAAAGGACCACAAACAGUCUGCCAUCUGAGUCUGGCUCAGAAGAUUUUUAGCUGACUUCUAACGUGGCAAGAGCCACGGGAACAGAGAGGACUCUGGCAACAGGACAGCUGCCUCUCUGCAGGGCUUCGGCAUCUCCCGGAGUCUGGAGAUUUUCAGCCCACCUCACAGCUACUGGGACUCUCACCUGUCAUCCCAGGGAAGGGCCCAUCUCCCGCACAGCGCGGGGCGCAGCUGGUCACUAGCUCUACAGUGCUCCCCCAGCUGAGCUCCCGCAGCAGCUCAGUGGUAGCGAAGGGAAAGCUCAGACCAGAAGGCUGCAGAUGUUUCUGGACCUAAGAGACACGGAGCCACGUCUACUGGUAGUUUCUGAGGAAAGUGCACAGGAGAAAAACGAGCUAAAAUACUGAAAAUGACUCAAUGUGGUUGAUUCAACUCCUUCGCAGUUAUAAAAGCCAGGUGUAAGCGAGUGUAAUUAUAAUUCUACCAGACGGCAAGCCAUUUACAUGGCUGUGCACUUUCAAGUUUGUUUGCGUCUUUUUGCCUGGUUUUUGCUUGGCUAAGACCAAGAGAAGACGGACAGUUCUGCAGGGUUUUGACCUAAAUGAAGGCUCUGCUGUAGACAGAGCUUCUGGAGGUUGGGUACAACUCAUGCUGGAGCGUACUGUAUACACAAAGCAGUGCUACCCGACGACUGAAAGAGCAGCUUACAAAAUGGCCCUGCUAACCGCCAUCCCUCCUUUUAUCCUCCUCCUCCCUCCAGCAGGGUGAUGCUGUACACCGCACGGUUAUUUCACUCCUCGUGUGAACCCGGGGCCUAGGGACUUAUCCCUGAGGCCCGCUACCCUCACCGAGAAAUGUGCUCCCUGUCAAGUCUCAUCGCUUCGUUACGGCUCUGCUUUAGGCUCCCAGAGCCAUUUGGCUAGGCAAGACCUCUCUUACGCGUGACUUGGAACAGGCAUCCACGUUGAGUUAUCCUUGCGUUCACACCCAUCUGCUCCAUUUCCAUGUCGUUCUGGCUUGGGCGGUAACUACUGCCCCUUGGUUCAGCCUUGAAUCAUGGCAGUGAGGCCUUACAACUACGCUACGCUGCACCUAAGGAGAUACUAUCAGUCCUUUGUCAGAAAGGCAUGUGCUUAAAGUUAACUUUCCCAAUGCUUGAAGUUUGUUUUUUGUUUUUCCUUCACUGAUAAAUCCCAGUGGGCCCACUGUUUUAAAUCAGUGACAUGCAAAAACUUCCCCAUUUUCCAAUUUACUCUUGCUCUGGUGACUACAUUUUUUUUAAACUCAAAAUCUGGACAUAUUGUCUAACAGAGGUUUUGUUGUUGUUUUGGUUGUGUGUGUUAUUCCCCAAGGCUAACAGCAAACUGGAAGACCUGGCAGGUCCUAGGUACAGUCUUAGAUUGCAAACCAACUGGACAGAAUAUUUACAAUUAAAAGUGUUGGAAAAUCUGGGGACUUCUGGAGGAUGCGUCCAUAUUCAGUGUUCCUACCAUGUAUUCUGUCCUCUCAUUAAUAAGACAUUUGUUUUAAGAGUGUCAAUCUUAGUCCUUCAAGUAGACUAGAAGCUUCUUAGAGACAAAAGGCAGGUCCUACUGACCUCUUACGGAGCUCUGUCCAUGUACGUAGCUAUAUUCAGUUGUUUCAUCAAUUGCAUAGGGAUGAUGGUGCGUUUUUAAGACAGCUGUUUGGGAUUAGGAGCUUGCAAAAGUGGCCCGACAUUGAGGUGACGGCAGACUGAAAAUCAGUGUCCUGCUCCAUCCCUCCAGAGGGUGGUUCAAGUCAGGCCUGGGGUAGAUCUGUGUUGUGAGGGUAUAAUUACCCUGGUCCAGAGGGCCCCAGGUCUUGUCUGGCAGCCUGAGUUAUACCUUUCAGGGCCUUUUGAAAUGCUGACUUGGCUCCUUAGAAAUACAAAACCCAAAACAUCAUUUGUAAAGGUCACGGGGAAUGGCCUGGGUCAGAAUAACUGGAGUUGCUCUCUGCCAGUGCCUAGGAAGAGGAAGUUGCUGAGUAGGGAGAUAACGCUCCUUGGGAGCUCCGCGCUGCCAAACCCAGACAAAGAGCAGGAGAGGUUUACAGCCGAGUUUUUACUCUUCGAUUCAAAUGCCAAUCCAGCAAUGAAACUGGUUCUAGGAAUUCCAGUCAGAUUUUUAUCAUCUGACUUGGAAACCAGCUGUGCUCUUAGUGAGUACAAAGAUUUACUACCUGCAAUUGCUAUAAUUCAGUCAGCAGAAUUAUGCAGAAGUGAAAAAUUUGAGGAAAACUCCUUAUUUUAAAUGCAACACAAACCGUGUUUUAAGGAAUUCUUCUUCUCUGACACUGAUAAAAAUGGCUCUAUUUUAAAGAAAGGAGUAGGGAGUCCAAGUAGAAGAACUCUUAAACUCGGGAAUUCAGUUUAUUCUUGAGUAUGCUUUUUAAAAAUCCUGAGUAAAAAUUACAACGAUUUGGUAAAGACCAUAUUUACACAGAGCAGGUGAGAAAACACAAAGUAGUUAACUCCUCAAUUUCAGAGCACAUCGGGAGCCCGGCCAACCUCACUGUCCAACUCCCUGAGACCUGGAAGAGAGCAGGAAUUUAACUCUAAGGUCAGCUCUGCAAAGUGGCCCAAUAAACUCAUGGCAGCCAUUCUGAACCAAUAAUUUCCUUCGCAGAAACGAACAAUUACUGUGGAUUUGUGAAUCCAUAUAUCAAAAGUCUCUUGGAUGUAUUUUAUGAUUUUAAAAGCCAUCAGGGCUGUCCUGGAGAAGCCAGUGCAUAUGGUCCUCAUACCACGGCGCCCCAGGUCUCCUGCACUGGCUCGUGCUCCUCUCACACGUGGGCUACAGCUGCCUCGUGCAAAACUGAUGCAAUAGAACCCCGUCACUUGUAUCAUCACCUGCGCCUGCGGAUACCACCCUGGGAAAGCCGAGCAAGGUAAGUUUUCCAGAAUAAGGGUUUCAAUGGCCCACGGACCAACCGAUGUGAAAGCAUUUCCCACGCAGAAACACAACCCCUGGAUGGGUUCUACGGCAGCAUUUUCAAGAGGGAAGAGAUACAUCGAGAGUUUAGAACUGCACUUGUUUGUUGAUUUAUUAACGAUGGCCACUCUGACAGGUGUGAGGUAAUAUCUCACUGUGGUUUUAAUUUGCAUCUCUCUGAUGGCUAGUGAUGUUGCGCAUCCUUUCAUAUGUCUGUGGGCCCUCUGGAUGUCCUCCUUGCAGAAGUGUCUGUUCAGAUCCUUUGCCCAUUUUUUAAUUGGGUUGUUUGUCUUCCUGGUGAUGAGUCAUGAGUUCUUUAUAUAUUUUGGAGAUCAAACCUUUGUCCGAUGCAUCAUUGGUUGGUUCCCUUUUCUUUUUGAUGAACCCCAGUGCACUGUUGGUGGCAAUGCAGAAUGGUGCAGCCACUGUGAAAAAGUUAAGGAAUUUCCUUGAAAAACUAAAAAUGGAACUGCCUUUUGAACCAGUCAUUCCACUGCUGGGAAUAUACCCUAACAAUCCCAAAGCACCAAUUCGAAAGAACUUAUGCACCCCUAUGUUCGCAGCAGUGUUCUUUACAACUGCCAAGUGCUGGAACCAGCCCAAGUGCCCAUCAGUAAAUGAGUGGAUCAAAAACUGUGGUUCAUCUGCACAAUGGAAUAUUACGCAGCAAAAGAAAUUUUGCAACAGCGUGGAUGGAACUGGAGAUUAUGCUAAGUGAAGUCAGUUGGUGAAAAACAAAUACCAUAUGAUCUCACCUAUAAGAGGAAUCUGAUGAACAAAAUAAACUAACGAACAAAAUAGAACCAGAGAUGGAAACAUGGAACAGGCAGGAGGGGAAUAAUGGUAGGAAGAAGGGGAAGGGGAAAAAAAGUAGCUGAGAUUUGCUUUGAUAAAAAAAAAAAGUUUAGAACUAUGACUUUACUAUUAAGUUUACAGUGAGCUGGUCAGCCAAGGUCAUGUAAUUGGAAUCUCUACUUCAAAUUCCUCGUGUGGAGGUGAUUACUUUAGAUGAUCUUCGAGGUUCCAUCCACCGUCACUUAUGUCCUGGUUCUCACUUCCCCAUACACCUAUGUGGUAACUUUUU